rnacentral:rRNA from 1 species
UACGGAGGGGGCUAGCGUUGUUCGGAUUUACUGGGCGUAAAGCGCACGUAGGCGGAUCGUUAAGUCGGGGGUGAAAUCCUGGAGCUCAACUCCAGAACUGCCUUCGAUACUGGCGAUCUUGAGUCCGGAAGAGGUGAGUGGAACUCCUAGUGUAGAGGCGGAAUUCGUAGAUAUUAGGAAGAACACCAGUGGCGAAGGCGGCAUCCUGGCCAUGUCCUGACGCUCAGGGGCGAAAGCGUGGGGAGCAAACCGG